GAUGAACGCUGGCGGCGUGCCUAAUACAUGCAAGUCGAGCGUACAGACGCUGCUCUUGCUCCUUUGUCGUUAGCGGCGGACGGGUGUGUCACACGUAUGUCACCUACCUAUCUUACUGGUAUCACUUCGGGACUCCGGCUCUUAUCCCGUAUAAUAUUCUGAUCCGCAUGGUUCGUUAGUGAGAGAUGGCUUUGCUGUCUCUUCUCGAUGGACCUGCGCCGUAUUGGCUAGUUGGUACGGUAACGGCUUAUCAAGGCAAGGAUACGUAGCCGAACUGAGAGGGUGAUCGGCCACACGGGAACGGAGACACGGUCCAGAGUCCUACGGGAGGCAGCAGUAGGGAAUGUGACGCAAUGGGCGAAAGCCUGACGGAGCAACGCCGCGUGAGUGGUGAAGGUGUUGGGAGCGUAAAACUGUGUUAUUAGGGAAGAACAAACGUGGAAGUAACUGUGCACGUCGUGACGGUACCUGAUCAGAAAGCAACGGCUAACUACGUG
rnacentral:rRNA from 1 species